rnacentral:rRNA from 1 species
UACAGAGGGGGCAAGCGUUGUUCGGAAUUACUGGGCGUAAAGGGCGCGUAGGCGGCCUUCUAAGUCGAACGUGAAAUCCCCGGGCUCAACCCGGGAACUGCGUCCGAUACUGGAAGGCUUGAAUCCGGGAGAGGGAUGUGGAAUUCCAGGUGUAGCGGUGAAAUGCGUAGAUAUCUGGAGGAACACCGGUGGCGGAGGCGACAUCCUGGACCGGUAUUGACGCUGAGGCGCGAAAGCCAGGGGAGUAAACGGG